rnacentral:rRNA from 1 species
GACGAACGCUGGCGGCGUGCUUAGCACAUGCAAGUCGAACGGAAAGGCCUCUUUCGGGGGGUACUCGAGUGGCGAACGGGUGAGUAACACGUGAGUAACCUGCCCUUGACUUUGGGAUAACUUCAGGAAACUGGGGCUAAUACCGGAUAGGAGCUCCUGCUGCAUGGUGGGGGUUGGAAAGUUUCGGCGGUUGGGGAUGGACUCGCGGCUUAUCAGCUUGUUGGUGGGGUAGUGGCUUACCAAGGCUUUGACGGGUAGCCGGCCUGAGAGGGUGACCGGCCACAUUGGGACUGAGAUACGGCCCAGACUCCUACGGGAGGCAGCAGUGGGGAACAUUGCACAAUGGGUGGAAGCCUGAUGCAGCAACGCCGUGUGCGGGAUGACGGCCUUCGGGUUGUAAACCGCUUUCGCUCAUGACGAAGCUUUGUGUGACGGUAGUGGGUAAAGAAGCACCGGCUAACUACGUG